rnacentral:misc_RNA from 1 species
AACGCACAUGGCGCCCCCCGGCAUCCCGGGGGGCAUGCCUGUCCGAGCGUCGUUUCAACCCUCGAGCCCCUACGUGGCCCGGCGUUGGGGAUCUACGGCUCUGCCGUAGGCCCUGAAAUACAGUGGCGGACCCGUGACGGCCCACCCUUGCGUAGUAGCAUCAGCCUCGCAUCGGUAGCCCGCGGGCGCUCCCGCCUCUAAACCCCAUAAAAGUCCGCCCCCGGCGGCACCAAGGUUGACCUCGGAUCAGGUAGGAAUACCCGCUGAACUUAA